GUACUCACUUCAGCAGCACAUACACUAAAAUUGGAACCAUACAAAAAACAUUAACACAGUCCCUGAACAAGAAUGACAUACAAGCUCUUGGAAUGUUUCUUCUUUUU